rnacentral:other from 2 species
CGGUCCCUGCAUUGCAUGAUCGCGGGCUGUGCUUCAUCGGAACCUGUUGAUUCCGAAUCGGGAGCCUAACAUUCGGCUGGGAUGUCGGACCCCCUCCGGGGGGAGGACGGAACGGGUCGUGCGGGCACCCACCUGGUGAUUCGGUUCUAUGAACUCGGUCCCGGCCGGCAUUGUGGGGUCCGG